rnacentral:rRNA from 1 species
UAAUACGGAGGGUGCAAACGUUGUUCGGAAUUAUUGGGCGUAAAGAGCAUGUAGGCGGUCUGUCAAGUCUGAUGUGAAAGCCCGGGGCUCAACCCCGGAAGUGCAUUGGAAACUGGCAGACUUGAGUACGGGAGAGGAAAGUGGAAUUUCGAGUGUAGGGGUGAGAUCCGUAGAUAUUCGAAGGAACACCAGUGGCGAAGGCGGCUUUCUGGACCGAUACUGACGCUGAGAUGCGAAAGCGUGGGGAGCAAACAGGAUUAGAUACCCUGGUAGUCCACGCCGUAAACGAUGGGUACUAGGUGUUGCGGGUAUUGACCCCUGCAGUGCCAAAGCUAACGCAUUAAGUACCCCGCCUGGGGAGUACGGCCGCAAGGCUA